rnacentral:rRNA from 1 species
CCCCCCCGAGUGGUGGGAUAAACCCUCCGAAAGGAGAGCUAAUACAGCAUGAGACCACGGUAUCGAAAGAGACUGAGGUCAAAGCGGAGGAUCGCAAGACUUCGCGCUUGGGGAUGAGCCUGCGGCCCAUCAGGUAGUUGGCGGGGUAAUGGCCCACCAAGCCUUAGACGGGUAGCUGGUCUGAGAGGAUGAUCAGCCACACUGGAACUGAGACACGGUCCAG